rnacentral:lncRNA from 1 species
UCAAACUUUCUUUUAUAUGCAGAUAUUAACUUGCAUUGGAAAAAUGUGUGGUUCUGAGUUAUCGUCAAUUACCUACCCUUGAUUGUAGCAUACGUGCUGGGUGAUUGAAUACAAACAUGUGGAGAUUUGAACACAAAAAUAAUGCAUGCAUUAGGGUUACUACACUUUUUAUUUUUUUGUUUAGCUUUAUAAUGUAAAACACGAACCUCUUCGAUGCAAUCGCAGAGUGUGGUCUUAUAUAUCUUAUAUCCAGGUGGUAGUGCUUUUGUGCUGUUUUUGUUUUGCGUAUUGAACUUUUUAAUUAGUAAUUUAUGAUUCCAGAACAUUUGCUCUUCGUGUGCCUGGGCCCUCUCAUGAUAGCAGAAAGCAUGUUACUUUAUCAGUUUGGUUGUGUUUCUCUUAUUUAUAAGAGCACAGUGGUCUUCAUUUAACAUUCCAAAGGUGUUUCAUAUUUUACUGUACACAUACUGUAUUGUCUUAUAUUUGCUUAGCAUCUCUUGAUGAAUCUCUUGAUGCUCUUGGUCUUACCUUUUUUUUUUUUUGUAUAAUUGUUGAUUCUUGGUCUGCUUAAACCUUAUGACCUCUAUAUGCUUUUCUUUAUUCAGUCUGGAUGCUGCAAGCCACCCACAGCAUGCGGCUUCA